CGAGGCCCCUCGCCUCCGCCCCGUGGAUUGAGCUUGUCCCUGGACGGAUUCGGGAGGAGGUGGGCUCGAAGGGGCGGAGAAGGUGGUCCUGGCCAGGAGCGUGUCCCAGCGGAGAGAGGCAGCGAGAGGAGGGCAGGGAUAGGGCGGACAAAGAUCCUCUGUGUGGCGGUAAUGGGAGGGCAGGGACGGGGCGGACCGAGCUCCUCUGUGGCGCUGAGCUCCUCCGGCGGCAUGGCAGCUCUGACAUCUUCAUCGUCCCUCAAAGAACUCCACAAACAGACAAGGAGGAUUGGGACGGGAUGGAGGAGAAAGCAUGUGUCCUCAGCCACGAAGAUGGGGAGGAUGCAAAGACGGCUUCUUCAUCUAGGACCUGCAGAUGUUUGCAUCAUUGGUUGGAGAUGUGUGUGAAGGUCGGUGGUUUGCUGGGUAACAGAGGCUGACGUGAGCUGCCAAUGGCGGAGGUUCAAGAGGAGCGCGCCGUCGCAGCCUCCAGGAGUAGCCUCAGUCGAUGCCGUCACCAUCCCCAUAGUUCUCUGCUACAUAGAUACUUCAUGACCUACUCAUCCUCUCGGUGUCACCAAGGAUGCCAGCCAGUAGUGCAACAAUCUCUUCUUCGAAGAAGACCAUUAGGUUCUCUCUCUCUUGAAGUAUCUUGUGUGGAGUCCCUGCUCAACGCUAGUGUGCUCUAGAGCUCUCCGCCACGACCGACAAAGUGGGAGACCUGCAGCCCUGCAUACUGGCUACCACAUCCUCCCAUCAGCACUUAGGAAACUGAAGAAUUGUUCAACAUGACCGAAAUAAAGGUGUAUCUACUUGACGAAUGUGGUAGCAGAGGGCAUACUUGUUGUAGAAGCACAUUCUAUUUUCUGAGGACGCCAUUCAUGCUUGCUGACACAAGCAAAUAAUGAUUCGAGUGCAAAAAGACAUGCCAAAGAUCCUCCGAUGACACUAUACUGAUAACAAACGUUCUCUGAUUGGUAGCUUCAGGUGUAUUAUGGUACUCUAGCUUUUAAAAUUUUCAAAAAGCAAUUUUUAGUAGAGUUAUGUUACUGUCAAUAACGAUCAUAUCAUUUGAACACCAGAAUGGAAAUCUCACCUGAUAUGCAUGCCUGUAGAUAGACCAUCUGGUAGCUGAUUCAUCAAGAAAGGAUUGCAUUUUACAUAGAUAGAUAAGGAAAAUGCAUUGUUAAAUCCGUGAGUGAUUCAAAAUGGGAUUUUAUUUUACUGCCUACCUUCCCUCGGAUCUGUGUAUGCUAACUGCUAUUCUAACAAAAAAAAUGCAGCUACAAUGUUCUUUUUCAAGAUAAUGAGCAUUGGCCAUGCUAGAACAUGCAGCUAAAUUUGGUGAUGCAGCUUGACAGUAGAAUAUGACAUCCUAUCAAUCUUUUGGUAUUUUGUUCAUGGUCUGCUUUCUUUAUCAGUAACGUGGGUUAGUAAUAGUGGCAUACAUGGACUAGAUGGUGGAUUAGGUGUCGCAAAUGCUGAGAUGCAUAUGCUUAUUAUUAUUAUUAUAUCAAGGUACAUAUUGAUAUGUUUGCUUCCAUCAUUUGCAGGUGACCCUCAUUUUCACUUUCCAGCGUUACUUUUUGUUGAAAGAAUCAAUCCUGAACUUGCACUAUUUAUAGCGAUUCUAUCCAGCAAGUUAGUCAUAAGUCAUAGCAUUCAUUGUUCCAGUCUUGGAUAAAGGACUUAUCUUUUCCCCUUUCAUGUAGUUUCACUCUUAAUCACAAUAUCACUUCUCUGGACAUAGUUCACAUAAAUAAUUAGCUCUCAUUUUUAGUUUCUUUUAGCUCUAUUUUUCAAGUUGUUUUCUGAUUUAGAUUUAGCUUGCCAGUUAUGUUCAUGUUUUCUUCGAUGCUUAUACUAAUAAUCGCACAAAGUAUUAUUCUUUGGUUGUCUAUUUUCUUCCUUGGCUGCACUUUAUCUACCUUUUUUUUUUCUCUAAUUACCUAUUGUUUCGUACUCAUGGAUUAUUUGUGAUUAGAAAUAUGGAGCCAGAACAAUAAAGUGUGUUGCUGCCCAUUUAUUCAUUUGGUGUUGUGCACAUGUCCUUGAACGAAGUGUAAUCAUCUUAAAUCCAUUUCAUUUUACAAGACUGCUCUUAUUUUGCACAAAUCACUGACACGUGCUUAUUCAAGUUCACAUCAAUAUCAUAUUCGACCCACCUUUUUCAGAUUUUAUAUUAUGGAGCCCAGUUGCUCUAUUUUGGAUUUAAUCCUAUUGGCAUGCUCUUUCUCCUACUUGAAAUCACUAUGCGAGUCAUGAGUACUGAGUAGUAUGGCGUGUUUUAUAAUACAUACCUGAUAAAGAUUAUGCUCACCUAUUUUUGUAUGAAUUAGCCAAUGGAAAAUCAUUCUUAUAAUUGGUAGCGGUAGGAUCCAUAUAUCAUAUACCCUUAUUUAUUCAGCUAGACUAAUCCUCGGUUUUAUCCUUUUCUUCAGUUCUUACAUAUGGUGUAGAUAUGCCUGAAUGUUUUGCAAUCUUCAUGCUCCUGGAAAUGCCCAAUUUUUAUUGUGUAAUUUAGUCCCAUGAGAGCCUAGCUGCAUUUGCCGCAUCCUCAUAACCAUCUCCUUUUCUCCACCCCUCUCUCCUCUACCUAGAAUCCUCACCGGACAUUGAUUUUCUGAUCUAUAUAUUUGUCAUUGUGUAUAUGUAUCCACUGGGUCCAAUUGAUUUUGUAGUAUUGGGUCUGUUGUGUUAGUACAAAUGAAGAUGGUGAAAUUGAGCUGGUCUUAUUUGAUAGGACGAGAUUAUUUUAGGUCAGUAUAAUUGUUGUUUCGGCCAGCAAUUUCUUGCACCAGUCCUAAUAGUUAUAUUGUACCCCCUUUUUACAUCCAAAUUGCGGAUCUUUAUUUGAUAGGAAACCUACAAAGUUUAGAAUUAUCAUCAGAAUCCAAUAGCUUUUAUAUCAGAAUAAGUUGUUGAGCUGGCAUGGUAUGCUUUUCACCUUUUUCAUUAAUAUCGACUGUAUUGAAACUUAUAGUUUGUAUAUUGCCUACAACUUUGUUUUAGCUGAUCUUUAAGAAAAUGCAGCAUGUCAGCCUAUACUUUAAUGCUUGAGAGUUGUAGUAAUACCCGUGUCUUCAUGGAGAUGCCAGUAUAUGACACUCCACAUGUUCUAUAUUUUUCAGAAUAGUGACUUAUAAAAAAGAAAUGCCCCUAAGUUUGUAUUAUAGAUAUGGCUACUUCUCCCUAAGUUACAAAAGGUUGAAGUAUGUUGUAUAUAAAUGAUUCUGGUUAGUUUUUGGAUCCCUGAAAAGGAUAUUCAUGUCCUGCUAGGCUGCUACCAUGUAAAAAUUGAUAUGCUAAGCCCUGCCCUUUAACCAUACAUAUGGGUUUUCAUUAUCAACCACAAAUAAACUCAUGCACGUAUUAGUUGAGCAUGUAUGCUAAAGAUUUUCUCUUCUGUUUUCGUAGAUUUUUAAAAGUACACUUUAACCUUGCAUGGCUUACAUAUUACUGUAUUAGACCUAAAUUUAAUUAAUUACACUUAUCCUGGUCCUAAAAUAUCAUUGGUAUGUGUAAAUUAAGAAAAUUUAAUGCCAACUUAUCAAUAUUUAUACUAAAGAUGCUAUUUCCCCCACAAAAAAAAACUUUUCAUGCCAAUGAGGCAAAAUCUCCGGUCUGAAUUCGCUUCUCAUUUCGUUUUGCUGGGUAGAUAGUGCCUGCAUACAUAUGAAAAAUUGUUAUAUCCAUUUACUGAGAGUUCAUUUGUACUACAUAUGAAAAAUGAUAUAUGCUUCAAGCCUAUGAUGCUGGCAAAAAUACCAUGGCCAAAUCAUUCUCCGAGGGGGCAUUGCUAAGCUACAUCUUAACUCAAUGCUUCCUAAAAAAGGACUCUUUCCGUUUCUGCAAUUUUCCAUUUUUUUCGAAAAUAUUUCAUCAACAUGGUUUUAUAUUCUUUUUGUUCUCAGAAGGCUGCGUGUGCAUGGAAAUUUACAUGUAUUUCUAUGCACAUGCAUUGGUCAUAAUAUCACGCCAUGACACAUUGUCGGUUCAUAGCCAUAAGAAACACGAUUAGUGUCUCACCAUUAUCAACUCACUGAAUUAUUACUUUUCUGUACCAACAUGCUUUAAUAUGGUGUGGUAGAAACCGUACCAUCGUUAGUGCUAUUAUUUCCUUUGAAGAGCCAUGCAAAAAAACGUUUGUUGGUAAUAUAGUGAUGCUUAAUAGAUUUGUUGUCUUCAAAUAUAGCUAAAUGUGAGCAAAACUAACAUCCUUUAGUUCUUGAGAUUUUUCUUAUACUUAGAGUUGCAAUUUGCAACAAUGCUCAUGAUCUUACAUUUGCUCUCAAAUACUUGUGUGUUUCUAUUCUAUCGUGGUUGUUGGAGACUUGUUACUUUUUGUGCUCAAAUAAAGGAAGGAAAUGAAGAAACAUGUGUGAUUUUAUCUAUGUCUCUCUACUAAUUACUCUAUUAUAAGUGUAAUUUCAGGCACAUUAACUUUAGUAAUUAUACUUAUUCAUUUGUUGGUUCAUGUACAAUGUGGAGAUUGUCUAGCUCAUGCUAACCUGACCUUAUUCAGAUUCUCUUAUCUUCUACUAUGUAUACUUAUGAAACUGUCACUCAUACUAUGUUGGUGGUCGAAAUGAACUUGCUAUUUUGUGCAACACUAGAAAAUAUUUCCUUCACCCUAAGAUACUACUAAAAAUCAUAUCAGGGUGGCCAUAAUUUUUCUGUGUAAAGGUGUGUUUGUUAGUGCGUUGUAGGUCUUGGUGUGCAAUACAAUUUUGUUAGGAAAAAUACCCUAUGUAACUUCUUGAUAUAUAUUUCAGCUAAUGUUUCUGCAUGAGUGUUGUAUUGUCUCAAUAGUUCGAUGUCUUGGUUAAGUUGUAAUGGUUUCAUUUUCAUAAUUAUUAUUUGUUCUUCAUAGGGCAUUAAUUAGUCUGAAAACAUGGUGAAAUUUUAGCUUAAUGUUUUACAUAUGAAUGAGUUACAUUGUCUCAAUACUUAGAUGCAUUAGUUAACUUGUAAUCGUUUCCAUAUAUAUGAAUAAGUAUUUGUUGUUCCUAGGGUGGUAAUGUACACAUUAUCCAUUUUCUUUAUCUGAAAUUUAGUAAAAUGCUUACUGUACUUUUUAUUGGUUGCCACUACCUGCUCAUGUAUACUCGUAUUUGUUAUAACUUCUGACUGAUUGUUCUUUUUAAUUGAUUUUACAGUAUCCAUGGUUAAUUCAUCUCUGACUUAUUGUUCUUUUAAUUGAUUUUGCAGUAUCCAUGGACAGUUAUAUAAAUUCUUAUUUAUACUUGAUGAUGUUAGUAAUGCCAACACUUUGUUGAAGCCAUGACUCUCAAGCACCCGGAAAUGACCUUCAAACUCUACACAUUUUUCCUGUCAUUCCACUACCACAGAUGUUCCUCUUAUUUGUAAUAAGUGAUUGACUGGAUUGCUGAUUUUUUAAUACAAUGUUUGUAGACACGAGGUUGUGCUUGCUGGCGUGAUGGCGCAUCCAGUGCUUGAUGAUGAUGACGAUCUGAUCGAGUACAGAGAGGAUCAUGAGUCUUAUGAUACUUUGAGAAAUGCAAAUUGUGAUUUAUACAAGAGUCGCCCGCUUUUAGGUUGAAAGCUUGAUAUUUAGUCUAGAAUGUUACUAUUGUGUGUGACACUGAUCUACAUGUUUGUCAUGGAUUUUUGUUGCCCACAUUGCUGCAUUACUUAUUGGUUCAUCCGUA